rnacentral:rRNA from 1 species
UACAGAGGGGGCAAGCGUUGUUCGGAAUUACUGGGCGUAAAGCGCGCGCAGGCGGCUAUCCAAGUCAGUGGUGAAAGCCCGGAGCUCAACUCCGGAAUUGCCAUUGAAACUGUUUAGCUCGAGUACGAGAGAGGUGAGUGGAAUUCCCAGUGUAGAGGUGAAAUUCGUAGAUAUUGGGAAGAACACCGGUGGCGAAGGCGGCUCACUGGCUCGUAACUGACGCUCAAGCGCGACAGCGUGGGGAUCAAACAGG